UUUCCGUAGGUGAACCUGCGGAAGGAUCAUUCAUAAUAAAGUGUUUUAUGGCACUUUUUAAAAAUCCAUAUCCACCUUGUGUGCAAUGUUAGAUCUCGUCAAUCUUGGCGAGUUUUUUAUACAUCAACUCAUUCUUUAACUAAUUUGUCUGAAAAAUAUUAUGAAUACUUAAUUCAAAAUACAACUUUCAACAACGGAUCUCUUGGCUCUC
rnacentral:misc_RNA from 1 species